CUCCCCAUGUGACGUGACAACUGUGUAAUUAUUACCCUGGACCGCAGCGAAAUCAUCAAAUAUGUAAGGAGCAAGGGAGAAGGGGGGAAGUUUUAGAGGAGAGCGAUGGAUGAAGAGGCGGAGGACAAGAAAAGAAAAGGAGUCAGCUGAGAGAGGGGAGGGUGACGACCAGGAGGAGACGCCGGAAAAGAUGGAGAGGAGGAAUCUCAACAUCUCAGCGUCCUCCAUUAAGGCUGAUCUCUUCGCAGGACAUCUGACUGACUGAGGAACAGGUCGAGCAGAGUCCAGCACCUGUCGACACCUGCUGUCACUUACGCCCUGACAUAAAAGGAGGGUCCUGUUGAGUGCAAGGGCCCUGUUGUCACAGUUGCCACCUACCUGUCAAGUGCUUGGGCGUGGAAUCUCUUCCCAACCUGAUCCUCAUUCUCCAGCACCAAAGUGCUGGUUUCUGUUGUUUUUGUUUCUUAUUUUAGUUGCAGGGUUGAAGAUCACCAGUAGUUCAGUUAUCAAAUUUUGUUUUGGUUUAGGUUCAUUUUGAGUUGGGCAAUUUAGAGGUCAGUCGCUGAGUGCGACGGCCCAUGUCGAAGAUGGCUCAGCGGCCUUCCCUUCAUAUUUCUUUUUGGCCGGGAUCUCCAAUCCAACUUUGUUUCCUUUAAUUUUCUGAGUAUAUUACAUUUUUGGCUGUGUUUGAAAUAAAC